GAGCUAGCCUGAUCGGGGCUGAGGCAGCGUUUCUUCGCUGGCGGAGAAGCGGUGACAGCGGCAUCGGGGAAAUUGAGUUUGGCCUUGUCACCGCGGAUGCGCUUAGCAGCGGCGUCAUAAGCUCUAGCGGCUUCUUCAGCUGUUGAAAAAGUACCGAGCCAGACACGGACACCUUGUUGUGGGUCCCUUAUCUCAGCGGCCCACUUGCCCCAAGGCCUUUGUCUGAUUCCUCUGUACACAUUCUUACGGGCCCGGGUUCCUCCAGUGUUCUUCUUACCCUUUUCUACAGUUACCACGCUUCUCUUCUUCUCUUCCUUGUCACAUGCUACCACUGCCACAUACAAAUAGAACAGUACUCUAUUGCGUUAUCAUCACGUGACACCUCACAAAUAUAUACUCCUACUUUACACAAAAUACAAAAUUAAUUAAAUUAAAAAAGCUUUCAAUUGGUUAGUAUUUUCGAAGUAUCUUCAGUUUUAUCAUGUCUGAUAGGAACAUAUUGUAUUUGAUCGAUCACGUAUUUAUUUUUUUAGUAUAAAGUUAUUAAAUUUACUUUUUUAACCUUUCUUUUUUAACACAUAGGAAAACGUGACCAAACAAAUAAUGACAUCUCUGUUAAUUCUUAAUGUCAAAAAGUAGUAAUUUUUAUUUUGGUAAAAGUAAUCUUUUUUAAUCAUACAAAAAUAGUAAAAUCUUGAACUUUCCUAAAACCCGUUUCAACAAAUUACACCAACCAUGUAUCUAGUACAUGUACCAAAUUCAAAUUUAUAAAAUAAAAACCCAAAUUUAAUUGGGAUAUCAACAUGAUUCUAAUUAAAGUGACGUCCUAUAUAAAAAAUUAAUUAAAAUAAUGGAUGUUUUGAAAAAUAAGAGAGAAAAAAUUAACAUAUACAACUAAUGAAAUUAAAGAAAAAAUUUCUAAUUUCUUUUAAAAAUCAUUAAAAGCUUCAAAAUAAAAAAAAUUAAUUUAAUUUUUUUCUUCAAUUUUUCUAUAUAAACUCAAAUUUUUUCAUGAAAUAAGAUCAUAAUAUUCGGUGUUCUAAGUAAUAAUUUAAAAAAUAAAAAAAUAAACCAAGAAUAAAUAUGAAAUCUAUCAAAUCAUGAAGAAAUCACCGAAAAAAGGCAAAACAAUGAUGAAAAUUUGUUGACAAAAAAAAGUUGGAAAGAAACAACCUUAGAACAAAAACAAGAAAGUGAUAGUGGUAGGUAACGUACCUUUUUUGUCUGAAAAUUGAGGCAAGUUACAAAGUGGUGGUGAUGACUCAUUGGAAGUAGCGGCAGCAAUAGAACCAAGACCAAGUAGAUCAACGGAAGGGUCAAUCUCCGACCAAAGGUUCCGGUCACGCUUCACACCAAUGAAAUCGGAAAUGAUAGCACCUCCACACAUAUUCGCAGUUUCUUAGAAGAAAAAAAAU
rnacentral:lncRNA from 1 species